rnacentral:rRNA from 1 species
CGGGAUGAGCUGUGCCUAGGGGUGAAAGGCCAAUCAAAUCUGCUGAUAGCUGGUUCUCCGCGAAAUCUAUUUAGGUAGAGCGUCACGAUUAGACUCUGGGGGGUAGAGCACUGAAUGGGCUAGGGGUCCUCACCGGAUUACCAAACCUUCUCAAACUCCGAAUACCCAGAAGUUAUGCGUGGCAGACACACGGCGGGUGCUAA